GCUAUGCAUCACCAUGAUCUUGCAUGUGCGUAGCAAAAAAAUUGAAACUACUGCGUUUGCCAACAAGGGUGCCCUCGGGAACGCGGACACGGGUGGUGCAUGGCUAUUGUCAGCUCGUGUCGCAAGGUGUUGGGUUAAGUCUCGCAACGAGCACAACCCUCAUGUCUAGUUGCCACUAUGAGUUUGGAACCCUGAACAGACCACUAGUGUUAAGCCGGAGGAAAGAGAGGAUGAGGCCAAGUCAUCAUGCCCCUUAUGCCAUGGGUGACACACGUGCUACAAUGGGCGGGACAAAGGGUCGCGAUCUCGCGAGGGUGAGCUAACUCCAAAAACUAGUCCUCAGUUCAGAUUGCAGGUUGCAACUCGCCUGCAUGAAGCAGGAAUCGCUAGUAAUCACCGGUCAGCCAUAUGGUUGUGAAU
rnacentral:ncRNA from 1 species